CACCCUGAACGCGCCUGAGCUGGUCUGAUCUUGGAAGCUAAGCAGGGUCG
rnacentral:rRNA from 1 species